rnacentral:misc_RNA from 1 species
AGUAAACCAAAACAACUGUUACAUGUCAGAUAGUAUAUUUGCAUGAGA